rnacentral:rRNA from 1 species
GACGAACGCUGACGGCGUGCUUAACACAUGCAAGUCGAAGGGAGUGGCGAACGGGUGAGUAACACGUGAGUAACCUGCCCUUUUCUUUGGGAUAAGCCUGGGAAACAGGGUCUAAUACUGGAUGGAUUGGGAUGGGCGCGCGGCGUAUAAGCUUGGUGGUGGGGUGAUGGCUUACCAAGGCUUUGACGGGUAGCCGGCCUGAGAGGGCGGACUGUCACACUGGGACUGACAUGCUGCCCAGGCUCGUACGGGGGGCAGCAGAGUGCGAUAUUGCACAAAGCACGAAGGAGUGAUGCAGCGUGGACGUGUGGGGGAUGAGGGUCUUCGGGUUCUAUACUCCUUUCGCCCGCGGAAUGGUAGUGGGUGAAGAAGCGCCGGCUAACUACGUGCCAGCAGCCGCGGUAAUAC